rnacentral:rRNA from 1 species
CCUACGGGUGGGCAGCAGUGAGGAAUAUUGGUCAAUGGGCGGAAGCCUGAACCAGCCAAGUAGCGUGCGGGAUGAAGGCCCUACGGGUCGUAAACCGCUUUUGCACGGGGAUAACACCCUCCACUUGUGGAGGUCUGCAGGCACCGUGCGAAUAAGGGCCGGCUAAUUUCGUGCCAGCAGCCGCGGUAAUCCGGAAGGCCCGAUGGUUAUCCGGAUUCAUUGGGCUUAAAGGGCGCGUAGGCGGGCGUUAAAGUCAGCUGUAAAACCGCGUGGCUCAACCGCGCCCCGAAGUUGAAACUGGACGCCUUGAGUACACAACAGGCAGGCGGAAUUCGUGGUGUAGCGGUGAAAUGCAUAGAUAUCACGAGGAACCCCGAUUGCGAAGGCAGCCUGCCGGGGUGCGACUGACGCUGAGGCUCGAAGGUGCGGGUAUCAAACAGGAUUAGAUACCCGUGUAGUC